AUUGAACGCUGGCGGUAGGCCUAACACAUGCAAGUCGAACGGCAGCACAGUAAGAGCUUGCUCUUACGGGUGGCGAGUGGCGGACGGGUGAGGAAUACAUCGGAAUCUACUUUUUCGUGGGGGAUAACGUAGGGAAACUUACGCUAAUACCGCAUACGACCUACGGGUGAAAGCAGGGGAUCUUCGGACCUUGCGCGAUUGAAUGAGCCGAUGUCGGAUUAGCUAGUUGGCGGGGUAAAGGCCCACCAAGGCGACGAUCCGUAGCUGGUCUGAGAGGAUGAUCAGCCACACUGGGACUGAGACACGGUCCAGACUCCUACGGGAGGCAGCAGUGGGGAAUAUUGGACAAUGGGCGCAAGCCUGAUCCAGCCAUACCGCGUGGGUGAAGAAGGCCUUCGGGUUGUAAAGCCCUUUUGUUGGGAAAGAAAAGCAGCAGGUUAAUACCCCGCUGUUCUGACGGUACCCAAAGAAUAAGCACCGGCUAACUUCGUG
rnacentral:rRNA from 1 species